CUCAAGCUCUAGGCGGCGUGCUUACACAUGCAAGUCGAACGAUGAAGCCCUUCGGGGUGGAUUAGUGGCGAACGGGUGAGUAACACGUGGGCAAUCUGCCCUUCACUCUGGGACAAGCCCUGGAAACGGGGUCUAAUACCGGAUAAUACUUUCCUCCUCCUGGAGGAAGGUUGAAAGCUCCGGCGGUGAAGGAUGAGCCCGCGGCCUAUCAGCUAGUUGGUGGGGUAAUGGCCUACCAAGGCGACGACGGGUAGCCGGCCUGAGAGGGCGACCGGCCACACUGGGACUGAGACACGGCCCAGACUCCUACGGGAGGCAGCAGUGGGGAAUAUUGCACAAUGGGCGAAAGCCUGAUGCAGCGACGCCGCGUGAGGGAUGACGGCCUUCGGGUUGUAAACCUCUUUCAGCAGGGAAGAAGCGAAAGUGACGGUACCUGCAGAAGAAGCGCCGGCUAACUACGUGCCAGCAGCCGCGGUAAUACGUAGGGCGCAAGCGUUGUCCGGAAUUAUUGGGCGUAAAGAGCUCGUAGGCGGCUUGUCACGUCGGUUGUGAAAGCCCGGGGCUUAACCCCGGGUCUGCAGUCGAUACGGGCAGGCUAGAGUGUGGUAGGGGAGAUCGGAAUUCCUGGUGUAGCGGUGAAAUGCGCAGAUAUCAGGAGGACACCGGUGGCGAAAGCGGAUCUCUGG
rnacentral:rRNA from 1 species